UUACUUCACUUGCACAUGCAUGUUAAAUAUCUAUUUAGAACUACUAAAAAUACAAAUGUGUUUUGUUGCUUUAAACAUUGCAGGAUAACACAAUCGUAUGUCUGUUUGUUCCAACUUAGAAACAGCCAAGCAGAAUGGUGUCGGUACGUGGGGCUCGGUUGGUGCCAUUGAGCAUCGUAUACAUAAAACAAAACGAAGCCGUCUUAAGAGUGGCGGUGUGGAGGGAGGCGAACUUGACCCAAGGUCUGCGAGUCAACGCUAAAAUUUCUGGCGAUUGGACUGAUGAUCAAAGAAGAGGAGGUCAAGUUGGCAGAUGGGGAGGGGGAAGGAAAAAAAGUAUUCAGUUGAGUGUGUGUGUGGAGCAAGACCUUCGCUGAGCCGCCAACUAUACCACGUGAUGGACUCAAAUUAAAACUAGUGUAUUCACAGGGUGAAGUGGUUGACAUAUGUAAAUAAACAUUUUAUUUUGCCAAUGCUGUCCAUUUGCCGACAUUGAUUUCUGCCAGAGUUUGGGGUUGGAUGGGGUGCAGUUUCACUUUUCAUUGGGAAGAGUUAGGGUUUGUUGUUUGAAAGCAUAGCUCUUCGUGCCACUUAAAUAUUUGACUGUAUUAUUUGUCAUAAGUAUCAACAAUGCAAUGAAGCCCAACUUUUAGGACAAAUUUGCGGCACUGUGUAAAGUGAAUCUCUAGAAGGUCCAAUUCAGAAUAAUGAGGUAGGUAGUAUAUGCUGAAUGAUCGAUGCAAAGGGUGAAUUAGAUUCUUUGAGAGGCUCUCAUUGCCUGUGAUGAACAAUGUAUAUGUAAUCAUUCAAGGAAUGAUCUGUAUGCAUGAUGAGGUCCUUCAAAUUUACCUAGGGACAUAUGUAUGUUUUCACCAGCAUAAUUCGCAGGCUGUUAGGAUCCUGAACUCGCUCCCCCGUUCUGCGUAGCGUCCUGUACUUUUACUGUCUGUACUGUCUGUAUGCACACUGGCUCUUAUUUGUUGCGUUAUCUGUUUAUUUAUUAUUUAUUAUUACUCUUAUUAUUUAUUGUUUGUGCCUUUUUGUUUUUGAUGUUUUUUACUUUUGCGCUAUGCUUGCUGGCUCCGUUUUGCUCCUCUUAAUUAUUGUGUUAUCUGUUUAUUUAUUAUUUAUUCAUCACUCUUACUAUUGAUUGUUUGAAUUUUUGCCUUCUUGUUUUUAUAUUGUGUCGCGUACUUGUAUGUCUAUCAUGUUAUGUGUCUCGUCACCGUGGGAUAGAGAAAAACGUAGUUUCGGUCUCUUUGUGUGUUGUGACAUGUGGAGAGAUUGACAA